rnacentral:tRNA from 1 species
GCAGUGGUGGUUCAAUGGUAGAAUUCUUGCCUUCUAUACGAGAGUCUUGGGUUUGAUUCCCAAUCAAGGCA